CAUGAUCCAGUUCUCCAUCAACCUGGGUUGUGGGUCAUAUCAGCCUGCUAACAGUGUUAGCCUAGAAUUUUCCACCAAUAGUGGUCGCAUCUGGUCCCUGCUACACACUGAAUGUCUUCCAGAACUCUGCACAGGUGUACACCUCCCUCACAGCACUGUGUAUUCGUCUGAUAACUACAGUGGAUGGAGCAGAAUUACCAUCCCCUUGCCUAAUGCGCCACUAACAGGCAGUAC